GGUUAAGUGACUAAGCGUACAUGGUGGAUGCCUUGGCAGUCAGAGGCGAUGAAGGACGUACUAACCUGCGAUAAGCCGUGAGCAGUCGGUAAGAGACAUUACGACUCACGGAUU
rnacentral:rRNA from 1 species